rnacentral:rRNA from 1 species
ACGGGAGGCAGCAGUGGGGGAUAUUGCACAAUGGGGGAAACCCUGAUGCAGCGACGCCGCGUGAGUGAUGAAGUAUUUCGGUAUGUAAAGCUCUAUCAGCAGGGAAGAAAAUGACGGUACCUGACUAAGAAGCUCCGGCUAAAUACGUGCCAGCAGCCGCGGUAAUACGUAUGGAGCAAGCGUUAUCCGGAUUUACUGGGUGUAAAGGGAGCGUAGACGGUGACGCAAGUCUGAAGUGAAAGGUGUGGGCUCAACCCGCAAACUGCUUUGGAAACUGUGUGACUAGAGUGUCGGAGAGGUAAGUGGAAUUCCUAGUGUAGCGGUGAAAUGCGUAGAUAUUAGGAGGAACACCAGUGGCGAAGGCGGCUUACUGGGCGAUAACUGACGUUGAGGCUCGAAAGCGUGGGGAGCAAACAGGAUUAGAUACCCUGGUA